UCAAACUUGGAGUUUGGCGCGCUUAUUUUAAUGUGAUACACUACUAUUAUAGAGUUCGUUAGGUUUUUAGUCGACUUGUUUGCUAAUUCCUCUUUUGCAUCAAAUAUUAUUCUUCGUUUGAGCAUGUACAUAUCGUGUUUUGCUUUUAAUAUAUUUAUUUUGCAGCGUGGUUGAGUUCUGAUGUGAUUUUUCUUUUUAAUGUGUUUCAAUUUGGACAGCACGCUUCGUUUUUAACAUGUAAUCUGGUAGUACAGAAGUUUACAUGAUUCUGUUGAAAUUCUGACAGCUUUGUGGGGCUCUCUGUAAUUAUGACCUUCUGAUCAGCAACUUGUGCAAGUACCUAGAAGUCUCAAGCACACUGCACCUUGUUAAUUUUGAUGUGCUGCAGUUGGAGAUGAGUGCCUCUGCUUUGUACUACUUGUGUCAUGUGAAAUAAAUUGGUCUUUAUUUUUAACUUAUGUGUUUGUUCCCAAAUAAUUGGUCUUUGAUCAUGUACAGGUUGGACAUUAAGUUUGUGUUUCUUCUAGUGUUGAAGUUGGUGCCAAUGUUUUUGUGUUUCUUCUAGUGCUGAAGUUGGUGCCGAAGUUAUACACGGUGCCAUUGGUGCCGAGCGGAGCGUUUUUUCCUAUGAUGCAAUGGAAUAUUUAUGAGGUCCAGGAGUUACCUUCUGUUUUUAUAGCUUUUCUUGCAUGGAGAUUAUAGCCAAGUGUGGUUCGUCAAAAUAAUCAUCUUCUCUCAUCAUAGCAUGGAGCCUCAAAUUUUGGUUUGCAUAUUUAUUUUUAAAGCAUAUAUUUUCAUGAUAUUUUAUUUCCUCUGGUGUUGCAGGGAUGAUAAUACUUUUCUUUCUCAUGUUUGAUCUUCCCGUUUUGUAUUCUGAUUCUUUUUUUUGGUCUUUUGAUUGAGGUUUGAUUUGGUUCUGACAUGUUAAUCUAAAAACGACGUUUUCUGUAGUGCAUUAUGUUUUGAAACAAUAACAUUUGAUGAGUAUCAAGACUCAGGUUUAUUUUGGUACCUCUACUUUGAAUGCGAAUUAUUUUCGUUUCUUUUUUUUAUCUGGCCGAUUCUUGUUGUCUACUCUUCUGGAUUUGCUCCUCUAUGAUUUACCAUUACUACUUAUUGUUUCUUAUCAAUGUUGAAAACUAUACAUGAUUUAAGAUUUUUUGUUUUCGUGUUUUGGGAGAGCUUGGUGGGCCUAUCUUUGUUAUGCUGAUUUGUGACUUAGUUUGAAGAACUAUGAUACUAUUCUUUCUUCUUGGUUCUUUUUCUACAAUCUGUUUGUUACAGCCUAAUUUUAAUUUUCUUGUGGUGUUAACAGAGUAAGAUUUACACGGGUUUGGUAUACCACAAAAGUUUCCUACUUUUUCAAACACUGAACCUUUUAAUCACCAUAAUGUUCAGUUGGUUGUGUUACAUUUCAUUAUAGUUGUUUCAGCAUCCACACUUAAUUUUGUGAGGUUAUCAUAUUCUUCCAGCGUUGAAGUUUUUGUGAGUUUCUGUAACGUCUUACUCCGUGGUUUAAAAUACAAAAUUCUGGAGUAACUCUUCCCUUCCCAAGGUAAGGAUUUUUGACAACUUGGUUAGGUGGUGUUUGUUAUGAUGACCUGUUUCAUUGGCCCACAAACUCCUCUGGUAUUGCAGUAGGCUUAGUAGGCUUAAAUUGUGACGUUUCAUAUUGAGCACGCCAUGAUAUUAAAUUGAUAGUGAGGAUAUGAUGUUGAUCUAUAGUAAAUUCUUUUUGUUUCCAUCUUUAGCGAUUCUGAGGGCAUAAAGUUCAUGAUUUGUUAUUUAUUCUUAGGUGUUGCAGGAGAGGAUAUGGUUUUGAUUUAAGUCUUGAUAUGCUUUUCUUAGAAUCAAACUUCUCUUGACACUUCUUUUACUCAUCAAGAUUUUGUUUUGUAUAAUUUUUUGAUAUAAUUCUUUGUUUGGUAAUCGAGAGACGCGUUUAUCCAUUUUGCAGCUGGCUAAGAGCUUUCGAUGUCUAGAAUGCGUUCAUAAAAUGGACAAGAGCACAUAGCCAAUAGUUUUAAUUUGGUGAUCUCUAGUAAUUUUUUUUUGUUUCAAUGUUGAAAUUUAUGCUCUCAGAAUCGAUAACAAAAAGAAUUUCAUGAUUUGUUAUUUAUUCUUUUUGCUCAUAAUCAUGAUUUGUUAUUUAUUCUUAGGUGUUGGAGGAGAGGAUAUGAUUUUGAUUUACGUCUGGAUAUGCUCUCAGAAUUUCACACAAUCAAACUUCUCUUGACUCUUCUUUUACUCAUCAAUAUUUUGUUUUGGAUAGUUUUUUGAUAUAAUUCUUUGUUUGAUAAUCGAGAGAUGUGUUUAUCCAUUUUGCAGUGGACUAUGAAGUUUCGAUGGAAUGCCUUGAUAAAAUGGACAAGAACAUGGAACGUAAAGUUUUAAUUUGGUGAUCUCUAGUAAAUUCUUUUUGUUUCCAUAUAGUUUUUUUGAUAUAACUUGUCAAACUAUUGGAAAUAAAAGAAUAUCAAAAUAUCCGUUUAUCCAUUUUGCAGUGAGCUAAUUUCUGGAUAUCUCGAACAAUUUUGGAUUAUAAUGAAUAAGAACGAUAAUAGUUACAGAUGCAUAAUCAAAUUUCCUCGAUCAUUUGUUCUUUAAUAUUUUUAUUUUUGGGCUUUGAUUACCAUGCACUCAAAUUGAAUCGUGAACCUGUUGUUCUGCAGCAUGGUUUGUCAAAAUCAAAAAAAUUUUGAACUUUGAUCAAGGCUAGAGAUCUCAAUUUUUUAUUACUCUUUUAAAAUAUUUUAGUUUUCAAUAACUCCAUCGCUUUCGAAUGCAUAUUUUCUUGAUAUUCUAUUUCCUUUGAUGUUGCAGGAAGGUAAUUUGUGAACGCUGAUUCCUUCUGGUUCUGGUUCUAUCUUUCUUUUGUUUGAUCUUCAUGUUUUUUUUAUUCUUAUUCUUUUCUGGUCUUUUGAUUUGGUUCUGGCUUAGACCGUCAUGCAUGUGAAUUAAAAUAUGACACGCUGUUUUCUGCAGCCUCAGGUUUAUUUGCUACCAUGUACUUGGGUUGUGAACUAUUUUUAUUUUCAUUUCUAUUCUGAUUGUCUAGUCGAUUUACUUCUUUGUUCUAUGCUUGACUUUUUUAUCUGAAUUCUGACAGUGCAAAAGUUUACAUGAUUCUUGGUGGUCUUCUCUUUGUAAUGUUGAUCUGUGACUUGGUGGUCUUCUCUUUGUAAUGUUGAUCUGCGACUUGGUUUGAAGAAUUAUGCAACUAUUCUUUCUUUCUUCUUGUUUAAGCAUCUUUCAUAGUGUAUAUUUUCUUACAAUUGCUUUAAUACUAUUUUUUUCAAGUUUAUUUCAUUCUUGAGAAUCUGUGUAUAUUUGUCAAUAUUUGUCAAUAUUUAUUUCAUCAGAUACUAACUCAUAUUUAGCCUAUACACUUUGUUAACUUUUCCUCUCUGCUGGGAUUAAUUUGGCUAUGCAAAUUUAGAUUUAACAUCUCAGCUGGGAUUAUUCUUUCAAAUUUGGGCGAGAUUAUCAGAUAAUGGCGAUUCAUCAUUGGGAUGUAAUUGGUCCUUUUUAUUACAUGGUAUAUGAAUUUGUGUUUCUUCCAGUGUUGAAGUUUUUAUUUGUUUUUGUAUCCAGAACUUGAGUACUCUGACAAAGAUUAGAAGAUUUUGGAAUGACACUUUGGUCUUUCCCAAUAUGAGGAAAUUUGGACAGCUUGGAUACAUAAACUUGAUUCUGAUGAUUUGUUUGUUAGGGUCAGAUGACAUAAUUUUGUCGGGGGAGGUUUUCUAAAUCUUCUUUACUUUUUUUUGUGAUUAUUGAUUUAUGAUGAUGACGAUACACCUAAAAUGAUACCCUCUUCAUUACAAUGGCCAAAGAACUCCUCUGUAUUAGGUGGAAGCCAAAAUACAUUUCAGUCUUUUUUUGAUACUCAACUUACUUUUAUUAGUUCCUGAGUUUUCUUUGUGGGUGUUACAGGGGAGAGAGCCUAUAAAUAUGUGCUUUACUGUGGAACCCAUGGCAGACAGAGAGGCUCACUGUUUUUUUUACUUGGUUACUUUGGUCUCCUGAUGUUGAGGGGAGAGAGCCUAUAAAUAUGUGCUUUACUGUGGAACCCAUGGCAAACAGAGGCUCAAUGUUUUUAUUUUUACUUGGUUACUUUGGUCUCCUGAUGUUGAGAACCCGAGUACUCUAACAAAGAUUAGAAGAUUUUUGAAUGACUCUUUUAUCUUUCCCAAGAUGAGGAAUUUUGGACAACUUGGUUAUAUAAACCUGAUUCUGACUAUUUGUUUGUUAGCGAUAACUUAACUUUGCCCGGGGAGUGGCCAAAGGACUCCUCAUUAGGUGGAAGCCAAAAUUGUAUUAUUUAAUAUGGCUACAUGAUCUUGCAAAUUGGAUGGAAUGGGAGAGAGCCUAUAAAUAUGUGGUUCACAAUGGAACCCAUGGCAUGGCAGACAGAGGCUCACUGAUGUUGAGGUUUGAUUUGGUUCAUAUUUUAAUGUUUUGUGCCUACUAUGGAUUGUUUGGGUUUUAAUUAAUAGCUGAUCUUCUAGUUCUCAUUUGAUUAUAUGGGUACUCUUUAUGAUAUAAUUUGUCAUUCAAUAAAUUUGCUAUCGCUGUUAAAAAUAAAAAGAAUAUUGAGAUAUUCGUUGAUCCAGUUUUGCAAUGAGCUUAUUUCUGAUUUUUCGAUAUCUGGAACAAUUUGCAAUUCUUGAUGAUAAUAUAAGAAUGAUAAUGGCUACAUACAUAGAUCAAAUUUCUUUGAUGAGUCAUUCUCUAUUAUUUUAUUUUUGAGAUUAGAAUGUAAGACACAAAUUGAAUUGUGUACUUGUUCUUAUGCAGUGUGGUUUUGUCAAAAUAAUGAUGUUCUUUCAUUAUAGCAUGGAGCCUCAAGUUUUGGUUGCAUAUUUCAUUUUGAAGCAUGUUUUCUUGAUAUUAUUUCAUCUGGUGUUAUAAUUUUCUUUCACUUGUUUGAUCUUCUGACUUUGUAUUCUGGUUCUUUUUUUCCUGGUUUUUUUAUUGUGAGGUUUGAUACAUGUUAAUUGAAAAACGACAUUGUUUUCUAUAGUGCGGUGUGUUUUGAAACAAUAACAUUUGAGUAGUAUCAAGCCUCAGGUUUAUUUUGGAACCUCUACUUGGAAUGCAAAUUAUUUUCAUUUCAUUUAUUAUUUGCCGAUUCUUAUUGUUCUGGAUUUGUUUCUUUAUGAUUUACUAUUAAUACUUAUUUUUUCUUAUGAAUGUUCACGUACUUCCCGUUCAGCCUAUAUAAUGUGUGGCUUGGAAGGGAUCCAGUGGCAGGAAGAGGUUCACAUACUUCCUUCCCAGCCUUGGGAUAAAACAAUUGAUUUACUUACAUGUGUGUAUUUGUUUUAGGAUAGUGUUGAAAGCGAAAAUUGGGAUAAAACAAUUGAAUUACUUACAUGUGUGGCUUGCAAAUUGGUUGGAAAUUUGGUCAACUCUUCUAAGAAUCUUUAUAUUUCAGUCUUUUUUUGAUACUCAGCAUAUAUUUUUUUCAGUUCCUGAGUUUUCUUUGUGGGUGUUACAGGGGAGAGAGCCUAUAAAUAUGUGUUUUACUGUGGAACCCAUGGCAAACAGAGGCUCAAUGUUUUUAUUUUUACUUGGUUACUUUGGUCUCCUGAUGUUGAGGUUUGAUUUGGUUCAUAUUUUAAUGUUCUUCGAUCGUGUACAAGCUGGUGUUGAAGUUUUUGAAAUUUUUACUUGGUUACACUGGAGUGUUGAAGUUUUUAUUCGUUUUUGUAACCAGAACCCGAGUACUCUAACAAAGAUUAGAAGAUUUUUGAAUGACUCUUUUAUCUUUCCCAAGAUGAGGAAUUUUGGACAACUUGGUUAUAUAAACCUGAUUCUGACUAUUUGUUUGUUAGCGAUAACUUAACUUUGCCCGGGGAGGUUUCUAAAUCUUCUUUACUGUUUUGUUGUUUUUAUUAUGAUUAGUGAUUUAUGAUGAUGAUACACCUAAUAAGAUACCCUUUUCAUUACAGUGGCCAAAGGACUCCUCAUUAGGUGGAAGCCAAAAUUGUAUUAUUUAAUAUGGCUACAUGAUCUUGCAAAUUGGAUGGAAUGGGAGAGAGCCUAUAAAUAUGUGGUUCACAAUGGAACCCAUGGCAUGGCAGACAGAGGCUCACUGAUGUUGAGGUUUGAUUUGGUUCAUAUUUUAAUGUUUUGUGCCUACUAUGGAUUGUUUGGGUUUUAAUUAAUAGCUGAUCUUCUAGUUCUCAUUUGAUUAUAUGGGUACUCUUUAUGAUAUAAUUUGUCAUUCAAUAAAUUUGCUAUCGCUGUUAAAAAUAAAAAGAAUAUUGAGAUAUUCGUUGAUCCAGUUUUGCAAUGAGCUUAUUUCUGAUUUUUCGAUAUCUGGAACAAUUUGCAAUUCUUGAUGAUAAUAUAAGAAUGAUAAUGGCUACAUACAUAGAUCAAAUUUCUUUGAUGAGUCAUUCUCUAUUAUUUUAUUUUUGAGAUUAGAAUGUAAGACACAAAUUGAAUUGUGUACUUGUUCUUAUGCAGUGUGGUUUUGUCAAAAUAAUGAUGUUCUUUCAUUAUAGCAUGGAGCCUCAAGUUUUGGUUGCAUAUUUCAUUUUGAAGCAUGUUUUCUUGAUAUUAUUUCAUCUGGUGUUAUAAUUUUCUUUCACUUGUUUGAUCUUCUGACUUUGUAUUCUGGUUCUUUUUUUCCUGGUUUUUUGAUUGUGAGGUUUGAUACAUGUUAAUUGAAAAACGACAUUGUUUUCUAUAGUGCGGUGUGUUUUGAAACAAUAACAUUUGAGUAGUAUCAAGCCUCAGGUUUAUUUUGGAACCUCUACUUGGAAUGCAAAUUAUUUUCAUUUCAUUUAUUAUUUGCCGAUUCUUAUUGUUCUGGAUUUGUUUCUUUAUGAUUUACUAUUAAUACUUAUUUUUUCUUAUGAAUGUUCACGUACUUCCCGUUCAGCCUAAAAUGUGUGGCUUGCUAGGGAUCCUGUGGUAAGAAGAGGAUCACACACUUUCUGCUCAGCCUUGGGAUAGUGUUAAGAGCAUGCGUACGAAGCAUUUAAGAUUCUUGACAAGCUUGGUUUGGAACUGUUUUGUUCUGUUGAUUUGCCACUUCCUUUUGUUAGAAAUUUUUUCUUGCCAUUAUUUAGGAAAUGGUUGUUUUGGCAUACUUUCUUCACUCGUGUUUAUCCAUUUUGCAUACUUUCUUCACUGGUAUGUAGAACAUUUUGCAUUUCUUGAUUAAAUGGUUAAGAACGUAGAACAUAUCUAGAUAAUUCUGGAUUGAGUCUUUCUUUAUCAUUUCUAUGUCUUUGCUUUGAUGGCAAGACAUACAAAUUGAACAGUGAAAAUGUUUUUCUGCCGCGCACGGAUUCAUCAGAGCAUGGAGCCUAGAGUUUUAAUUUGGUGAUCCCUAUUAAAUUUUUUCUGUUUCAAUCUUUAUCAAUUCUUAGAGCAUAUAUUUUAUGAUUUGUUAUUUAUUCUUUGGUGUUGCAGGAGAGGAUAUGAUUUUGAUUUACAUGUCGAUAUGCUUUUCUCAAAAUUUCACACAAUUAAGCAUCUCUUGACUCUUCUUUUACUCAUAAAGAUUUUGUUUUGUAUAAUUUUUUGAUAUAACUCUUUGUAUGAUAGUCGAGAGAUGAGUUUCUCUGUUUUGCAGCGUGCUAAAAAGUUUCGAUGUCCAGAAUGAUCUUCUGAUCAGGGACUUGGUUUGGAGGACUAUGCUACUGUUCUUUCUUUCUUUCGUUUUUUUUUUUGGUCAAGUACUCUUCUUUCUUCAUUCAUAGAUUUUUUUUUCUACACCUAUUCUUCUCAACCUUGUUAACUUUUUUUUUUUUUUUUUAUUGUAAGUGGAGAAAUUAAAGAUGAGUGCGCCUGAUUGCUGGGAUUAAUUUGGCAAUGCUGGUGUUGAAGUUUUCGUGUUUCUUCCAGUUUUGAAGGUUUUAUUUGCUGAGUACUACUCUAGCAAAGAUAAAGAUAUAAGUCUGGAUGGAAAUUUGGUCAACUAUUCUAAGAAUCUUUACAUUUCAGUCUUUUUUUUAUACUUAGCAUAUACUUCUGUCAGUUCCUGAGUUUUCUUUCUGGGUGGUGCAUGGAAGAGAGCCUAUAAAUAUUUGUUAUGGAACCCAUGGCAGACAGAGGCUCACUGUUUUUUUUUUUACUUGGUUACUUUGGUCUCCUGUGUUGAGGUUUGAUUUGGUUCAUAUUUUAAUGAUCUGCGCCUACUAUGAAUUGUUUGUGUUUUAAUUAAUUACUCUUCCAAUUCUCAUUUGAUUAUAUGUGUACUCUUUUUGAUAUAACUUGUCAUUCAAUAAAUUUGCUAUCGCUGUUAAAAAUAAAAAGAAUAUUGAGAUAUUCGUUGAUCUAGUUUUGCAAUGAGCUUAUUUCUGAUUUUUCGAUAUCUGGAACAAUUUGCAAUUCUUGAUGAUAAUAUUAGAAUGAUAAUGGCUACAUACAUAGAUCAAAUUUCUUUGAUGAGUCAUUCUCUAUUAUUUUAUUUUUGAGAUUGGAAUGUAAGACACAAAUUGAAUUGUGUACUUGUUCUUAUGCAGUGUGGUUUUGUCAAAAUAAUGAUGUUCUUUCAUUAUAGCAUGGAGCCUCAAGUUUUGGUUGCAUAUUUCAUUUUGAAGCAUGUUUUCUUGAUAUUAUUUCAUCUGGUGUUAUAAUUUUCUUUCACUUGUUUGAUCUUCUGACUUUGUAUUCUGGUUCUUUUUUUCCUGGUUUUUUGAUUGUGAGGUUUGAUACAUGUUAAUUGAAAAACGACAUUGUUUUCUAUAGUGCGGUGUGUUUUGAAACAAUAACAUUUGAGUAGUAUCAAGCCUCAGGUUUAUUUUGGAACCUCUACUUGGAAUGCAAAUUAUUUUCAUUUCAUUUAUUAUUUGCCGAUUCUUAUUGUUCUGGAUUUGUUUCUUUAUGAUUUACUAUUAAUACUUAUUUUUUCUUAUGAAUGUUCACGUACUUCCCGUUCAGCCUAAAAUGUGUGGCUUGCUAGGGAUCCUGUGGUAAGAAGAGGAUCACACACUUUCUGCUCAGCCUUGGGAUAGUGUUAAGAGCAUGCGUAAGAAGCAUUUAAGAUUCUUGACAAGCUUGGUUUGGAACUGUUUUGUUCUGUUGAUUUGCCACUUCCUUUUGUUAGAAAUUUUUUCUUGCCAUUAUUUAGGAAAUGGUUGUUUUGGCAUACUUUCUUCACUCGUGUUUAUCCAUUUUGCAUACUUUCUUCACUGGUAUGUAGAACAUUUUGCAUUUCUUGAUUAAAUGGUUAAGAACGUAGAACAUAUCUAGAUAAUUCUGGAUUGAGUCUUUCUUUAUCAUUUCUAUGUCUUUGCUUUGAUGGCAAGACAUACAAAUUGAACAGUGAAAAUGUUUUUCUGCCGCGCACGGAUUCAUCAGAGCAUGGAGCCUAGAGUUUUAAUUUGGUGAUCCCUAUUAAAUUUUUUCUGUUUCAAUCUUUAUCAAUUCUUAGAGCAUAUAUUUUAUGAUUUGUUAUUUAUUCUUUGGUGUUGCAGGAGAGGAUAUGAUUUUGAUUUACAUGUCGAUAUGCUUUUCUCAAAAUUUCACACAAUUAAGCAUCUCUUGACUCUUCUUUUACUCAUAAAGAUUUUGUUUUGUAUAAUUUUUUGAUAUAACUCUUUGUAUGAUAGUCGAGAGAUGAGUUUCUCUGUUUUGCAGCGUGCUAAAAAGUUUCGAUGUCCAGAAUGAUCUUCUGAUCAGGGACUUGGUUUGGAGGACUAUGCUACUGUUCUUUCUUUCUUUCGUUUUUUUUUUUGGUCAAGUACUCUUCUUUCUUCAUUCAUAGAUUUUUUUUUCUACACCUAUUCUUCUCAACCUUGUUAACUUUUUUUUUUUUUUUUUAUUGUAAGUGGAGAAAUUAAAGAUGAGUGCGCCUGAUUGCUGGGAUUAAUUUGGCAAUGUGAGUUUAUAUUUGAACAUCUCUACACACGCUUCUUGAUUAUUCUUUGAAAGCUUGGAAGAGAUUAUCAGAUAACGGAGAUUCAUUAUUGGGAUAUAAUUGGUCUUUUUUUAAUAAUGUUUAUAUGUAUUUGUUCCUGAAUAAUUGUUCUUUGAUUAU